UGUUAAUGAGAUAAUUUAGUACUUUUGUCAGUAAUAUCAUUUCGAAGAAACUGAUUGAGAGUUAAGUGCUCAAGUUCUUCUUACAAUUCCUGUCUUUUCUUUUUAUUAAUAAGUAGACUUUUGUUUCUUUUUUUUUCUGAUUUUACAGCAUAUGUGGUAUUUGCAUGUAUUUUGUGAGUAAUGCUAGGUACUGGUGGUCAUUAAAAUUGAGGUAUUUUCUUUUCUAAGAAUUUAAGAUAAGCUGUGUCAAUAUCUUACCAAUUUGAAGUGUUGAUUUGGCUGUUAGGAUUACUUCCCUUGCUUAAGUAAAACCUUUAUGCCGCCUUUAUGUCAUUCUUGAUACUGUGGAUUAAAGAAUUUCUUAUUUAUUUGAUUUGUUUAAAUUUAGAUGUAAUUUUUUGUGCUAAAUAAGCUAUUUAAUACUUUUUUGUAUAAAAAGUUUAUUUUACACAAAAGCUUACUAGUUAUGCACAAAAGUGAAUUAAUAGUUCUUUUAUCCAUAAAAAUUCUACUUUGAUUUCUUUUCUGAAAAAAAGAAAUACAAAUCAUUUGAAAACCUGCUUACAAAACACAGCAAAAUUAAUGAAAAAGAAAAGUAAAUGUUUUUUUAUUCCUUAAUUAAAACAAUCACCAAAUUACAGGAGGAUAUAGUUUGAAUCAAAUGGUUUAAACUAUUUAUUUGAUUAUGGGUAGGUCUUCGAAAUCCAUAAUUUUGAAACAUCUCAUAUAGCAGAUAUAACCUUUCUAGCUAUUUGCAUUCGGUAAACAUUGAAAUGACACGGUUUCCACUAAGUCAUUGACAUUAUUCAGAAAAAUAUCUUAAAGUUGCACAGGAGUUUUUCCUGAAUGACACGGUCGAUUCUUUAGAUAUUUGGCGUUAACCUAUUAAAUCAGUAUAGUAAUACAACCUGUGAAAAGAUCCUUUGGAAGCAUAGAAUCUAACCAAUCACUUGGUUUGAUUUAGUCUAUUUUUGAGUGAUAAUGAAAUGUGCAAAACCUCUCACACCCUGUAGCGCUGGCUUAAGCGGAGUUCUUAGUUAUUAUUAUUUCGAAGGAAUUGAAGGACUUUUUAGUCCUUUAGUUCUACCUACAUUUUCCUGUGUCAUGGGUGAAGUCGGGAAGCAGGAAUGUCUUAUUUGCAGUCUACAUAGCUAUUGAUAGGGGUCUUGUGGAUCAUUGCUCGAUAACCGAAGUGAAACUCUGGGUAGCAGUUUCACUUCAGCCUUGCUGUCGACAAGUGUAUGCAACUUUUUUCUCCAAGACUGUCUCGAGUUGCAGCCUGACUUUGCCUUUAUUCGCUGAACAUAUUUUUGGUUUCGCACCAUCUGUUGUUUACUUAUUUCUUGAAAUCCCGCAAAUAGUUGAUUCAUUCUCCUCUGCAUUCAAUGCGGAUCUAGAGCAAGAAUGUUCAGGCUAGCCAGCUACAAUCAUAAAUCACUGAUGCCAAGUUUCGAUUGUAUCGCAGUUACAUGUAAAGCUAUGUUAGAACAUUAAUUACUAAUCAUCAGUCCAUUUAAGCACUCGUGAAACAUCUUAAAGGCAAUUGUCAUUGGUUGUUUGUUCUUCUUAUAAACAAGUUGGUUUUUGUGUCACCAGUUAGCAGUAUAAAUUUAGAUGUCUUGUGCAAAUAAAAUGACACUGUUGAUUACAUAAUUUCCUAUUCUUUUAUUUUUUUUAUAGUUGAUAUUAUGUUUUAUUAUACACAUAUAUAAAUUAUGUAAAAAAAUUGGCUUGUAUUUCACAAUUGAAUAUGAACAGACAGAUAAAAAUUUCGUAUUGUACCUUUUAAAUUCCGGAGUGUACCUUUUGUAUUGUAUGCUGCCGGACUACUUUCAUCAAUAUGUAUGACCUGACACAAUUCUAUAAAUAGUGCACAUAAAACUUCACUUAGUUCCAUUUUAAUAUCGAUAAACGUUGAAGACUUCGUUCAAUAACAAAACAGCAAACAUUAAGGUGGAGGUAUAUAAUAAAAGGGUCAGUAUAACAGUAGCUAGAUCUGAGAUUUUGUAUUCGGCUCUCGUGGAUUUUGCAAAGUCGGAUCACUCAGCGCUUGCGCGCCUCGUGAGAUCCGAUCUGGCAAAAAUCCACUCGAGCCGAAUACAGCUACAAUUAUAAUAACCCUAUUGUAUUUUUGUGUAUUUUUUGUUUCUUCUAAAUAAUGUCUGAAAUACUUCAUCCUUUAAAACAGUAUGCUUUACACCAAAGGCCAGCAGUGAAAUAAACAUUUCAUUUUUACUUUUGUACAUUAUAUUUUACUUUGAAAUUGUGUUUUUUUAUUUCUAAAAAUACUUUAUUCCAGUCAUUCAAUCAUCUACUGACAAAACACAGCAAAAUUAUUGUUUUUUAAUCCUUUGUUAAAAUAUUCACCAGAUUAAAGGAGUAGGAUAUAAUUUGAAUCAAAUAGUCAAAAGCCUUUGCUACUUAUAUUGUAAAUUGGUAGAUGUUUGAAAUGCAUAGUGCAGAACUGUUUGAUGUAGUACACAUACUUUACCAGUAUGAACCCAAGGACAUUGACAUGACUCUGUUUACAGUUCGAUUGAAGUAAGUUAGAUAGUUUUCUUGUUCAAUAGAUUGUUGUUUUGCUUUAUUUUCAGUUUUUAAUAUUAUGUGUUUGGAGCCAACCAUGAGAAUGUUCUUCAUUCAAGUCUUUGUCACCGACAAGUAUAUACCUCUGUCUGUAUCAAAGGUAUAUUUGAAUUUCUUUUUCGGCUCCUGAAACUAAUUGUUUGAUAUUUGGAAGAAGUUUGUUUUCGUCUGAUAUUUGGAAGUUUUGUCUGUGUUGAUGCCAUAAAGUGGAAGCACUUGAGGAUAUUUUCAGAAGAAUUCAGUCUGUGCUGUAAGUAUUCACUGUCUUUUUUGUGAUUUUAAGGUCAAGUAUUACCGGUACAUGUAAACCUGGUGCCAAAUUAUGCAUGUGUACUCUUGUCAUAUCCCAGUUCCGGUUUAUAAUUUUAACACUCUUCAUUUGCCUAUAGAAACUUAUCAUUUGAUGAAACAGCAAUUAUAACGUUAUAAAUUCCUAUUUUCUUUUUUAUGCCAUUGGUUUUUAAAGGCUGGCACUGGCAUCUUUUGAAAUGGCACGUAUUACUAGUAUCAUGUAUUUGAUGUCUGUAAAAGAGUUUAGUGCUUUCUUUGGUAAUAUUUCUUCUAAGGAACUGAUUGUGUGUUUAGUGUUUCAGUUAUUCCUACCAUGUCCUGUGUCAUGAGUUCAGUUUCGAAGCAGGUAGGUCUUGUUUGCUGUCUACAUAGCUAUCUGUUGGUGUGUUGUGGUCGAUUGCUUGAUAAUAGAAGUGAAAUUCUUGGUAGCAGUUUCACUUCCACAUUGCGGUCGAUUAGUAUAUGCAACAUUACACACUACGUCUACCCCGUACGCCGAGUUGCAAACUGACUGUGCCUUUAUUUGCUGAACAUAUUUUGGUUUCGCACCAUCUGUUGUUUACUCAUACCUUGAAAGCUUGCAGACAAUUUAUUCAUUCUCCUCUGCAUUCAGUUCGGAUCUAGUGCACGAAUGUUCCGGCAUGCCAACACCACUCGUAAAUCACUGAUGCCCAGUUUCGAUUGCAGCCCUGGCAGAAGUAAAGCAGUGUUGGAUGAUAAAUUACUAAUCAAGUCCAUUACACCACUCGUAAAACUUUUUUAGGAUAGUUCUCAUUGGUUGUCUAUUCGUCUUAUAAAUAGGUUGGCUUUUCGGGGUUUAUUUUUGAUUGCGAUACCGCAUGCAUUGUGUCAACAAUGCUGGGUACUGAUGGUCAUUGUUAUAAGCAGAAGUAUUUUCCUGUCUUACAAUUUAACAUAAGAUGUGCUAAAAUGUCGCAAAUUAACAAUAUUAAAUUAGAUGUAAAUAUGGCUGUUUGAAUUCCUUCCCUUGCAUUAGCAGUUAUUAACAGAACAUUGUGCAAAAAAUAGCACUCUUGUUUACAGAAUUUCUUAUUUCUUUUUUGGAAGAUGAUGCAAUGUUGUUUCUUUUUUGUUUGUCAAAUAAGGUAGGGAAAUACUCCAUCCUGAAUUCUACUUUAAAAUUGUUAAAGCUGAAAUUCUAGUCACUCAAACAUGUACCGAUAAAACACAGCAAAUUUAUCGUUUUUUAAUACUUUGUUAAAAUAAUCACCAGAUUAAAGGAGGAGGAUGUAGUUUGAAUCAAAUGGUCAGAAUUAUUUUGCUAUUUAUAUUGCAAAUAGGUAGAUGUUUGAAAUUCAUAGUUUAGAAAUCUUUGAUUUAGUAGAAAUGCUUUAUCUACACAUUUAAACUUGGAAAACAUUGAAAUGACCGGGUGUGCAGUUCUGUUCAUUUAAGCUGAGAUAGUUUGUGUUAAAUAAAGUGUUGUUUUGUUUUAUUUUCAGUUUUUAGUUACUUAUUUGUUUGGGUUCAGACUAUAAGAAUGUUCUUCAUUCAAGUCUUUGCCACUGGUGGGCAUUACAGACAAUAGAAGCUAUUUAGUCUGUGCUUUUAUUAGCGCAAAUUCUUCAAAAGAUUCAGAUGGAGGGGAGGAAAUGUUUUUGGUUGCACCUACAUGGCCAACACAAGACUGGUUUCCUCGAUUACUUCAGAUAUUGAUAGACUGUCCACGAUUUCUUCCUGUGUCGCAGGAACACAUCAUCCACUAUAAUUACACAGACUUCACCUUGCAGCCUUUCGCAUAUUAAGGAAAAAUUACAAACAGAAGGAUUUUCAGAAGACGUAUCGACAUCAUUGUGUCAUCAUGGAAGGAUAGUACAAAAAUCGAAUAUCGGGGUUAUCUUGAAAAGUGGUUCCGUUUUUGUGCUGAACGAAAUGUUGAUUCCUUUUCAGCAAAUGUGAAAGUUGUUUUAAAUUUCUCUAUCACAGAGGAUUGAGUUACAGUUCGCUAAACUCGGCUCGUUCUGCUCUAAACUCAUGUCUAAGUUUCAUGUCAAAGGAUUCAGUUUCACUGGGAAACAGUUAUAUGGUGAAAAGAUUUAUGAGACGUGUGUUUUGUUAAGACCGGCUCUUCCUAGGUAUCAGUUUACUUGGGGCGUACAGACUAUAUUGAAUUAUCUUAAGCAAAUUAAUAGAAAAGAUAAUUUGAAACUGUUGACAUAAAGUUUUAGGCUUGUUAGGACUACUGACAGCUCGAAGGGUUUAAUCUCUACAUUUUCUUAGACAAUCGAAUCACUGACCUUUUGAAACAAUCUAGACCAGGGAACCAUUUGCCCGAAAUGUAUUUCAAAGCAUAUGCUGAAAAUUCAUUAUGAGUUGUUCAUUGCUUAAAGCUAUAUCUUGAAAUGACAAGAGGUUUGAGAAAUAAUGAGACAUCGUUGUUUAUCAGUUAUAGUAAACGCUUAAAGCUUUAUCAAAAGAUACGUUCGCAAGAUGGAUCAAACAGAUACUAAAUAGUGCAGGAAUUGACACUAAUCUGUUUAAAUCUCACAGCAUAAAAUCUGCAGCAACAUCUCAUGCUUCACGAAAAACUAUUCCCAUAGGUACUAUACUGAGAACAGCAGGAUGGUCAAAAGAAUCAACUAUAGUAUUAUAAGAAGCCUAUCACAAAUGAUACUUCUUUUGCAGACGCGGUACUGAAUAAAUAAAUUUUGAUAUUAAGACCGUAAUGUGUAGUGAUAUGAGGCCAUAAGUGCUAAUGUGUCCUAUUUAAAGGUUAUUUUAUGUCUGUGAACAGUGAAUUAUAAGAUGUUUCAUGUUUAUAAACUGGUGCCGCCAUAAUAUUUACUUUAUGAAACAUUA